rnacentral:rRNA from 1 species
GAUGCAGCGACGCCGCGUGAGGGAUGACGGCCUUCGGGUUGUAAACCUCUUUCAGUAGGGAAGAAGCGAAAGUGACGGUACCUGCAGAAGAAGCACCGGCUAACUACGUGCCAGCAGCCGCGGUAAUACGUAGGGUGCGAGCGUUAUCCGGAAUUAUUGGGCGUAAAGAGCUCGUAGGCGGUUUGUCGCGUCUGUCGUGAAAGUCCGGGGCUUAACCCCGGAUCUGCGGUGGGUACGGGCAGACUAGAGUGCAGUAGGGGAGACUGGAAUUCCUGGUGUAGCGGUGGAAUGCGCAGAUAUCAGGAGGAACACCGAUGGCGAAGGCAGGUCUCUGGGCUGUAACUGACGCUGAGGAGCGAAAGCAUGGGGAGCGAACAGGAUUAGAUACCCUGGUAGUCCAUGCCGUAAACGUUGGGCACUAGGUGUGGGGAACAUUCCACGUUUUCCGCGCCGCAGCUAACGCAUUAAGUGCCUUUCCUGGGGAGUACGGCCGCAAGGCUAAAACUCAAAGGAAUUGACGGGG